GGUAUGUUUAGAGACAUGGUGAGCUGUGUAUGCUGGACUGGUUUGACACAUAGUCAUGGCAAAGUUUGAAUGAAUAACUGAACACUAAAAUAAUGCUUUCAAUCCUUUAUAUUUUAGCUCAAAUAACGUUGUUUAAUGUUGAAUUGGAACAUUUUGAGUCACUGGUUACAUUUAAACACCAUGAGAACAAAACACCAGACUCUCACAGGCUUCAUUCAUUAUAGAUGUUUAUUCCUUCAAGUGGGAAGAAGAUGGAGACAGACAGUGAUAGAAUUACAUUCAGGACCUAUAAUAGAUUCUCCUGGUAACAGUGAUAGAAUUACAUUCAGGACAUAUAAUAGUAUCUCCAUGGUAAAUAUGUUUUAGAGUUGUCUGUGUUACCACUGGACCAAACUCUGGGGACUGUGUCACCUACAAAGAGACACAUUUACAAUCCUCAUCACAUGUCAUCAACCCUUUCCCGCUAAUAUCCCCACUUCCUAUCUCCCUCUCUCUGCUCUUCUCUCUCUCUUUCUGAGCGAAGAACCUCUGGACACUGAUCUGGGAACACCUGGACAUCACCACUGGGUAGUGCUGCUUCAACAUGUUUACAGCUCUGACAAGGUUAGGGGGUUCAAUACUUGUUGUUUGUUUCCUUUUGGUUCUCACCCCAGUUGCUUUGGCCAUCCACUCUUUCUUCUUGCUGUUUGUAACAGCAGUAGGCUGUCCACAGGAGAUCUGGGAUGUUCACUCGGGUUGUUCAGUUGUUGUUGACCACUGGGACACUGCUCCAGUCAACACAUAGGCCUGGGUUGACCAUUAUUAUCAAGGCAUUGCUUCAGGAGAUCUUUCUAAGUACACUCCAUCUUUCCCCAGCUACCUUCAUUAAAUGUCUUUACUUGAGGAACAGCGUUUGUCAGGGUAAAGUGGAGUCCUGAUUUACGUUGGUGAGCAAAAGAUUAGGAAACAAGUGACCUUGUUCACUUCUUGUCUUUACCGUAUUCAUCAUAAUCCUGAUUGACAGCCUGGUGUGUAUAAAUGACCCCUUGUUUCUCCAGACCCAUAACUGGUUCAUUCCUCCGUCCAGCUGUAGGAACAAAUAUUCACAUUAUUCAUGAACUGACCCCUGUAUAUUAGACCCUGUUAAUAGACCUGUAUAUUAGACCUGUAUAUUAGACCUGUAUAUUAGACCUGACCUGAUAUAGACCUGUAUAAUAGACCUGUAUAUCAGACCUGUCUAAUAGACUGUGUAUUAGACCUUUGUAUUAGACCUGUCUUCGACCUGGUAUAUUGACCUGUAUAAUAGACCUGUAUAUUAGACCUGUAGAUUAGACCUGUAGAUUAGGACCUGACCUGUAUAUUCGACCUGUAUAUCAGACAUGUAUAAUGACUGUUGUAUUAAACCUGUAUAUUAGACCUGUUAUUAGACCUGUAUAUUAGACCUGUAUAUUCGACCUAUAUAUAAGCCUGUAUAUCAGACCUGUAUAUUAGACCUGUAUAUUCGACCUGUAUAAUAGACCUGUCUACAGACCGUAUAUUAGACCUUUUAUUAGACCUGACCUGUCAUUGAGACCUGUAGGAGACCUGUAUAUUAGACCUGUAUAUUAUGACCUGCCUGUAUAUUAGGACCUGACCUGUUAUUAGGACCUGUAUAUCAGACCUAUAUAGACCUGUAUAUUGACCUGUAUAUAGACCUGUAUAUUAGACCUGUUUAUUAAGACGUAUAUUAGACGCUGUAUAUUAGACCUGUAUAUUAGACCUGACCUGUAUAUUAGACCUGCAUUAGACCUGUAUAUUAGACCUGUAUAUUAGACCUGACCUGUAUAUUAGACCUGUAUAUUAGACCUGUAUAUAGACCUGUAUAUUUAGCACCUGUAUAUUAGACCUGUAUAUUAGACCCUGUAUAU
rnacentral:lncRNA from 1 species